rnacentral:rRNA from 1 species
UACGGAGGGUGCGAGCGUUGUCCGGAAUCACUGGGCGUAAAGGGCGCGUAGGUGGCCUGUGGAAGUCUGCGGUGAAGGCCCGGCGCUCAACGCCGGGUCGGCCGUGGAUACUCUCGGGCUUGAGCUUACUAGAGGCAGAUGGAAUUCCGGGUGUAGCGGUGGAAUGCGUAGAGAUCCGGAAGAACACCGGUGGCGAAGGCGGGUCUCUGGGCGAAUAACUGACGCUGAGGAGCGAAAGCGUGGGGAGCGAACAGG